AUGCUCUUUGCGGAUGAUGUGGUGCUAGUUGACGAUAGUCGGACGGGGGUAAAUAGGAAGUUAGAGUUAUGGAGACAAACCUUGGAAUCGAAAGGGUUUAGGCUUAGUAGAACUAAAACCGAGUACAUGAUGUGCGGUUUCAGUACUACUAGCUGUGAGGAGGAGGAGGUUAGCCUUGAUGGCCAGGUGGUACCUCGGAAGGACACCUUUCGGUAUUUGGGGUCAAUGUUGCAGGAGGAUGGGGGUAUUGAUGAAGAUGUGAACCAUCGAAUCAAAGCCGGAUGGAUGAAGUGGCGCCAAGCUUCUGGCAUUCUCUGUGACAAGAGAGUGCCACAAAAGCUAAAAGGCAAGUUCUACAGGACGGCGGUUCGACCCGCAAUGUUGUAUGGCGCGGAGUGUUGGCCGACUAAAAGGCGACAUGUUCAACAGUUAGGUGUGGUGGAGAUGCGUAUGUUGAGAUGGAUGUGUGGCCACACGAGGAAGGAUCGAGUCCGGAAUGAUGAUAUCGAGAUAGAGUUGGGGUAG
rnacentral:rRNA from 1 species